GGUAUCCUCGUUGAGCGGACACUGGAGCUGUCCUGGACUUGAUCUGUCCAGUCCCCACCCCCACCCCCUUUUUUUUUCUAUUUCUUUUUUUGUUGUCUCCCUCUCCCCUCUCCCUCCCUCUCCCUCUUGUUUUCCUUUUUUUGUUUUUGAGACAAACAUCUCAUUAUGUAGCUCUAUCUAGCCUGGAACUCUCUGUAUACCAGGCUGGCCUCAAACUCAAAACGAUCCUGCCUCUCGCUCAGAUUCGGUCCCCGUGGUGGUCUUUUGGGGGUCCCCGAAAUCUGGGCAUAACAUAUAUCAGGUACUGGCUCCCGCAGGGAAGUUACCUAGAAGUUCAGCAGGUCUGAAAAUAUUUGAGCACGCAGGAGUUUCAUAGUAGAAGACAGCUGGAAUAUUAAAGGCUGGGUAGCAACAAAUAUUCAUAAUAAAUGGCUUGCCUCUUGACAGACUCUUGGCCUUCAAGGUAUAGCUUUAUUUAUUUUUUUUUAAGGUAUAGCUUUAAUACACAGCUGAAUCUCUAUGAUAUAGUCUUGCAGCCCGCAAAACAAUGCAAAUGGCUUUUGCACCUUUUCCAGCAAGGCCACACCUCCUAAGCCUCCCUAAGCAUUAUCAUCAACUAGGAACAAAGUAUUCAAAUGCCCAAGACUAUGGGGGACAUCUCAUUCAAAUCACCACUGAGUUCAGAUAUCCAGAACUGUAACAGGCUUUCUUGGACCACCAACCAGCUCCCAAAUCAAGGCAU